rnacentral:rRNA from 1 species
CCCCCACUCUUUUUUUCACAAUCGCACAGAAAGUGGGAUAAGGUUACCCGGAGUGCCGAGAGAAAAUUUUUCGGCUGUUGUGGGUGUGUAAAUAACCCCACCAGAAAGGAGAGGGCAAGGCUGGUGCCAGCCGCCGCGGUAAACCAGCUCUUCAAGCGGUCGGGAAUUUUAUUGGGUUUAAAGGGUCCGUAGCCGGUUUGAUAAGUUCCUGGUUAAAUCUGGCAGCUUAACUGUCAGUUGGCUAGGAAUACUAUCUUACUAGAGGGGGGGAAAGGUUUGGGGUACUCCAGGGGUAGCGGUGAAAGGCUAUAAUCCUUGGGGGACCACCAGUGGCAAAGGCGGCGGACUAGAACACGCCUGACGGUGGGGGACGAAAGCCAGGGAAGCGAACGGGAUUAGAUACCCCGGAAGUCUUGGGUGGAGACGAUGCGGGCUAGGUGUUGGAAGGGCUAGAAGCCGUAUCAGUGCCGAAGGGAAACUGUUAAGCGCGCCCGCCUGGAAAGUACGCUCCGCAAGGGGGAAAACUUAAAAGAAUUUGGCGGGGGAAAAGGGCGAAUUCCUUUUAAAACCUGCAGGACUAGUCCCUUUUAGUGAGGGUUAAUUCUGAAGCUUGGGGGAAAUCCUGGCCAUAGCUUGUUUCCCGGA